CUGUAUAAGACUGGCGCUCUCAAUGAAUCUUUGCCACAACGUCUGCUAACCUCCUUUUCUCUGGAUCAUCUACUCACCUUCACAGUUUAGUCACGCUUUUCCUGGACGCUGGUCAUCUCUGUUCAUUUACAGUCACGUCCUACGCUAACUCUGUUCCUUGUCCUCGGUUGCCUGUCUCCCUGCCUUCUCCUCACGGUCCAUCACUGGACCACUGUUCUUGGACCCACAGCUCGUUGAUACUCACCCGGACCGCCUCGACUACUUCCCCCCACACCACUCUUUGCCCGCCAACAAUGACUCUAAUUACCACCCCUUGAACCACAACCCAUUCCCCGAGACCCCCUGUAGAACCCGCUUCAUGCUCACAGCUCCAUGCACCCGAUUCUUACCAUAGUUCACAGUUUAUGCUCUAUGUGUCAAGUGUCUCUUGAGAAAGCCUCUGUACCUCCGGCUGAAUCUGCAUUUUGGAUCCACUCUCUCGCUCUGGCCAUUCCUCAGUCAGUAAGGCUUUGAGAAAAAAACUAAACAUUUUGAUAACUCAGAUUUUAAAAGGUGGUGAAAAGUUUUUAUUCAUUGAUUGCAGAGUUGAAGUGAUUGACUUAUUGUUCAUGUUUUGACAAAUGUGAAUAAGGUUUUGAUUGUUGUGUCUUUUGUGAUGAAAAAUGUCCUAACUGUUUGAGAACACUCAAGAAUUCUGCCAUUGACUUUUCUGAGAAUUGAGUCAAAUCAACUGAGAAAAACUGUAAGCAACACGCUUGUCUCAUUUAUUUAGACAAUUAAUAAGCUAGUUAACCGCUUAUGCAAACAACAUGCUCUGCUUAUCUUUUGCACAUGCUGUGUCUUAAGUAUUUGUUUCUGAGAGCAACAAAUAAAGACAACACAUCAACAAAAUCUAAACAACUAAGCAAAUGUUAUUACUGGUUAAAAGUUGGCUUUUUUUUUACGCAUUUGUUCUGACGGAUUUCAUAAGGUCAGACAAUAGAGAUUAUCAAAAUGGAGAUGACAUAUAAGAUAAUGCUGUCACAUCCUGAUCAUAUAGUCAUUUAUUCUCUGACAUGGUCAGAACAUCUGGAAAUGCUCUCUGUUGUGUUCAGACAUUUCCGUGAUGCUUUUCUUUUUCAUGCUUCUCACAUUAAACCUCUCU